rnacentral:rRNA from 1 species
UACGGAGGGUGCGAGCGUUAAUCGGAAUUACUGGGCGUAAAGCGCGCGUAGGCGGUUCGGUCAGUCUGAUGUGAAAGCCCUGGGCUUAACCUGGGAACGGCAUUGGAUACUGCUGGACUGGAGUGUGGGAGAGGGGUGUGGAAUUUCCGGUGUAGCAGUGAAAUGCGUAGAGAUCGGAAGGAACACCAGUGGCGAAGGCGGCACCCUGGACCAACACUGACGCUGAGGUGCGAAAGCGUGGGGAG